rnacentral:rRNA from 1 species
UGCCAGACUCCUACGGGAGGCAGCAGUGGGGGAUAUUGCACAAUGGGGGGAACCCUGAUGCAGCGACGCCGCGUGGGUGAAGGAGUGCUUCGGCAUGUAAAGCCCUAUCGGCAGGGAAGAAGCAAGACGGUACCUGACUAAGAAGCCCCGGCUAACUACGUGCCAGCAGCCGCGGGAAUGCGUAGGGGGCGAGCGUUAUCCGGAUUCACUGGGUGUAAAGGGAGCGUAGACGGCAAUGCAAGCCAGAUGUGAAAGCCCGGGGCUCAACCCCGGGACUGCAUUUGGAACUGUGUAGCUGGAGUGUCGGAGAGGCAGGCGGAAUUCCUAGUGUAGCGGUGAAAUGCGUAGAUAUUAGGAGGAACACCAGUGGCGAAGGCGGCCUGCUGGACGAUGACUGACGUUGAGGCUCGAAAGCGUGGGGAGCAAACAGGAUUAGAUACCCCCGUAGAC